GGCGCGCAAUUACCCAAUCCCGACACGGGGAGGUAGUGACAAUAAAUACUGAUACAGGGCUCUUUUGGGUCUUGUAAUUGGAAUGAGUACAAUUUAAAUCCCUUAACGAGGAACAAUUGGAGGGCAAGUCUGGUGCCAGCAGCCGCGGUAAUUCCAGCUCCAAUAGCGUAUAUUAAAGUUGUUGUGGUUAAAAAGCUCGUAGUUGAACCUUGGGCCUGGCUGGCCGGUCCGCCUCACCGCGUGUACUGGUCCGGCCGGGCCUUUCCCUCCGUGGAACCCCAUGCCCUUCACUGGGUGUGGCGGGGAAACAGGACUUUUACUUUGAAAAAAUUAGAGUGCUCCAGGCAGGCCUAUGCUCGAAUACAUUAGCAUGGAAUAAUAGAAUAGGACGUGUGGUUCUAUUUUGUUGGUUUCUAGGACCGCCGUAAUGAUUAAUAGGGACAGUCGGGGGCAUCAGUAUUCAAUUGUCAGAGGUGAAAUUCUUGGAUUUAUUGAAGACUAACUACUGCGAAAGCAUUUGCCAAGGAUGUUUUCAUUAAUCAGGAACGAAAGUUAGGGGAUCGAAGACGAUCAGAUACCGUCGUAGUCUUAACCAUAAACUAUGCCGACUAGGGAUCGGACGAUGUUAUUUUUUUGACUCGUUCGGCACCUUACGAGAAAUCAAAGUGCUUGGGCUCC
rnacentral:rRNA from 1 species